UACGUAGGGGGCAAGCGUUGUCCGGAAUCAUUGGGCGUAAAGCGCGUGUAGGCGGCUUGAUAAGUCUGCUCUGAAAGCCCGGGGCUCAACCCCGGGAGGCGGGUGGAUACUGUCAAGCUCGAGUCCGGAAGAGGCGAGUGGAAUUCCUGGUGUAGCGGUGAAAUGCGCAGAUAUCAGGAGGAACACCAAUUGCGAAGGCAGCUCGCUGGGACGUUACUGACGCUGAGACGCGAAAGCGUGGGGAGCAAACAGG
rnacentral:rRNA from 1 species